rnacentral:rRNA from 1 species
GGAAUCUUCCACAAUGGGCGGAAAGCCUGAUGGAGCAACGCCGCGUGUGUGAUGAAGGCUUUCGGGUCGUAAAGCACUGUUGUAUGGGAAGAACAGCUAGAAUAGGAAAUGAUUUUAGUUUGACGGUACCAUACCAGAAAGGGACGGCUAAAUACGUGCCAG